AAACCAACAGGGAUUGCCCUAGUAACGGCGAGUGAAGCGGCAACAGCUCAAAUUUGAAAUCUGGCGUAAGCCCGAGUUGUAAUUUGUAGAGGAUGCUUCUGGGUAGCGGCCGGUCUAAGUUCCUUGGAACAGGACGUCAUAGAGGGUGAGAAUCCCGUAUGUGACUGGCUUGCACCCUCCACGUAGCUCCUUCGACGAGUCGAGUUGUUUGGGAAUGCAGCUCUAAAUGGGAGGUAAAUUUCUUCUAAAGCUAAAUACCGGCCAGAGACCGAUAGCGCACAAGUAGAGUGAUCGAAAGAUGAAAAGCACUUUGGAAAGAGAGUUAAAAAGCACGUGAAAUUGUUGAAAGGGAAGCGCCCGCAACCAGACUUUGCGGCGGUGUUCGGCUGGUCUUCUGACCGGUUUACUCGCCGCCGUGAGGCCAUCAUCGUCUGGGACCGCUGGAUAAGACCUGAGGAAUGUAGCUCCCUUCGGGGUGUGUUAUAGCCUCUGGUGAUGCAGCGCGUCUCGGGCGAGGUCCGCGCUUCGGCAAGGAUGAUGGCGUAAUGGUUGUCGGCGGCCCGUCUUGAAACACGGACCAAGGAGUCUAACAUCUAUGCGAGUGUUCGGGUGUCAAACCCCUACGCGUAAUGAAAGUGAACGGAGGUGGGAACUUUUUGUGCACCAUCGACCGAUCCUGAUGUCCUCGGAUGGAUUUGAGUAAGAGCAUAGCUGUUGGGACCCGAAAGAUGGUGAACUAUGCCUGAAUAGGGUGAAGCCAGAGGAAACUCUGGUGGAGGCUCGCAGCGGUUCUGACGUGCAAAUCGAUCGUCAAAUUUGGGUAUAGGGGCGAAAGACUAAU
rnacentral:rRNA from 8 species